GGGGGGUGGAGAAGUUGGGAUGGGACGGGGGAGAGGUCUGCAGUGCCUACAGGGAAAGGGGGUGGAUUAUUUCUGAAGGGCAAUGUGAAAGUUGUAAACAUGGGAGUGGCAUAAUCCUAUUUACUUUAUAAACCUCCAGUGCUGUAUUUACAGCUCCCAGGGAAAUUCAGGCAGGUGCAGUAUCACCUUUUGUUAGGGAUAAUAUCACUAAACUCUUAACAGAAUCCCUUUAGCCUGUAGGCCCUGACUUUCCAUCAUUGGAUGCUAAAAUUCAAAAGGACACUUCCUUUUCCAGAGCUUUAUACCCCCUCAUCAUGCUAAGGGAAUGCAACUGUCAGAGCAACUAGUGGUUUGGUUGACAGACCCUAGGGAAAUGCCAAGAUAAUUUACAAAGAAAAUUGAUCCAGACCUCAAUUUGAAUCCCACCUGCUUUUCCUAUCCUAGGAUAUGCCAUCCUUUUGUUGUUUCCUUUUUUUCCAUAGGCUCAAAACUAAACGUUAAUGUGAGCUGCUUGACCAAACUGAACAUUAUUAAAGUUAAUUUCAACAGUCCUACAGUUAGUGUUCCCAUAUAAGGCAUACCCUUGGCAGGAAGGACCACAGUUGAAUUUGAAUUUGGAUAAUUUAGAGUUCUCUUUGAAGCUAAAUUGUAGCUUUGAUAAAUUCAAGGAAAUUUCUUUUACCAACAUGUUUGGACACAAUAAGAGGGAAACAUACAACAUGUGGAAGCAUCAGGUGUGUGUAUGUUUAUGCUUGAAAGUAGAGACAGAGGUAACAGCAUCAGAAACCAGAAUACUAACAAGAUCCACCUGCACACAGGAGCUGAGCUGUUACACAGGAAAGAACCAGGGCUGAGGCAGGCAAGGGGUUGGGGAAACUUGCACCUCUUCUUAUUAACUGUUGACAGACAAGCCCCUGGCUCCCCUCCCCAUGCCUAACAAAAAUAAAAUCACCAGUCUGCCCUUCUCCUAGAUUACACAGCCUGGAAUACACAGAUAUUAAAAUCAACCUUUUCUGCUGCCCAAACUGUUCAUGUCCCAGGCGCAAUGACUGUGUCAUUGACUCAAAACCAUUAAAGUCAUUAAAAUAGUGAAAAUUCACAUAAAUCUGUGAAUAAUACAGCAGGCUCAACAGCACUACUCAUGACCCCAACCCCACACACCUAGAAACAUCCAGUGGUACAGAACCAUGAACAGCAGCCCUCAAGUGGGCUGGAGUGCAGGGAUGUGGGGAGGGAAGGGGGGCUAUCUCUUAGGGCCAAUGCCUCAUGACAGCUGAAAUCAAACAACACUAUACCCUUAGACUAGCCUGGGCUAGUGUGACAGAUGAGGGAUCCUGGGUUUGCAUAGAGUAUGGCUCACAUAUCUGACUAAGGCUUUGCAUUCUUCUUAUCUAAGUUAAUGCCUUUCAUUGUACAUUGCCCCCAAUUCCCACUAGUUCAGGGUUUCUUAUCAACCACCUGUCUCACAACCUCAUGGCCCAUUUAUUAAAAAUGUGCCCCACUGAGAAUAAACAUCUCCAGACUGGACUUACAUACUGCAUUUUUAAACACUACCUGGGUCAUCUUUAUGCAGAUUUAAGUUUGAGGACCUCUGCUCUACAGCAAUGUUUCUUAAACUGUGGGCCGUGACCCGUUUGGUCAAGAAACCAAAUAAAUGAGUCAUGACCAGCAGUUGAUUUUUUUUUUUUAAGUAAGUAGGAAAAAAUUAUAAAUAGAACACACUGCAGGUAGUCAGGGCAAUUAUUGUUUCUGGGAACUUAUGCACUUGUGGACCUCUGUGCAGGGAUGUAAAAUGUAUUCCUCACUGUGGAUCCCACUCAGAGUUUGAAAACCACUAUCCUAGAGGGAAAAAGGAAAACAAUAUUCUUGCACAUGCGUUUAUUUUCAUUUUCCACCCCUAAUUCCAAGCUUCUGGAGUUUAGUUCAAGCACAAGAUAUCAAGACAGAAAGGCUGUUAUCAAAUCCUAAACUGAUAAGGCAAAGCCAAACUAAGGAGGGGGAUGAGCCCAAGGCCCACACUCGGCUCCUGCCUGAGACCCUUAUCAUGGAGCUGGGGAUAAGGAAAGGUGCCAAAGAGAAAUUUGCACAACUCUCCUCAGGCUGGACCUGUUCCUUGGUAAAGAACCUGUAGCCACUCACUGUCACAGUUUAGAGGAAUUAAAAUGUUCCCCAUGGGGGGGAAUGGGGGGUCAGAGGAGGCUCAGUCUCAGUAUAAGGGAUAGACAGAAGUCAGGUUCAACCCAUCUUUGCAGUCCUGUGGCAGUGACGAGGUCAAAGGAAAGUCAGGAAAGGGUGAAUGGUCAAGUCUCACCCCAGCACCAGCGACAUGAGUUGCCUUGGACAAGUCGCGUAACCUCUCAGUCCCCUAGGUUCCAUGCAUGGCUAAUGUUCUGGCAGCAAGUGGGGCACACGCAAUCAGACAGCUUCCCUUCUUGCCCAAUGCUCUAGGACAGGGAGUCCCAUCUUGCACAUCUUGCCUGACCAGAAGAGAGGAACAUGGGAGGAAGGGCAAGGGGGAAAAGAUGGUAGCUAGCUGUGUUGUUAGCUUUCAGACUCACCAGAAGCAAGGACUUACUGAAAAGAGCCUCAAGACCCCAGGAGAGCAAACUGACAAGGAGGCCAGAGAGCAAAAAACCCAGCGAAGCCCAGGAGCAUUUUCCCGUGCCAUUCACAGCCGCGGGACUGCGGGAGGGUCAGCUACAUAACAGAAAUAAACGGAGGACACUCACUCACUUGGCUUUGUAAGCUCUGGUAAGCUGAGAGUGAAGUCAGAGGUGGCAGUCUCCUGGGCUGGGUCCAAAAGAACAGGUGGUUCCCCCCACCCGCCAACUAGAGAAAAGCCACCACUUGGGUAAAGACAUCCAGAGGAAGUCAGCGGCCGAGGGUGAACUGGAAGCAGUGAGAGAUCGGCGCUGCCCCUCAGCGCAAGUUCCCGAAAGUUUCUUUUUGGGCCAAUCUUGUGCACGUGGACCUGAGUGGCAAGAGCUCGUGCUACAGAGCUCUACAGAAGCAAGUGGAAACAGGGAGCUGUUCUGAGCAGAAGAGGUACAGAAUCACGUGACCUAAAAGUGAUGACUGCAGGAAUAUAACCAAGAAAAGGGGAAAUAAAUCAGCUACAGAGAAGGCACUGGGCAAAACUUGUAAAGAGUUAUACAGUGCAUCUGAACUUUUACUAAAGUACACAGAACUGUAGUUUCUUCAUUGAUACCUUGGGAUCUCACAGAGCCUGCUGCACAUAAAUAAAACUUACUUGCCUUAAUGAGAGCCUCAUUACUUUUAAUUGUACUUUUAAUUGUAAUGGUUCUUGAAUCUAUGCUUUUGCCUUCUUUGCUAGGAAGGAACACCUUCUCAAAAGAAUUCUUUGUAUUUUAGAAUUACUACUUGUGUCAUGAUAUUCCUUCUGCACUAUCACUUGUAUUCUGAAAGAGAAUCUUCAGUGUUUAAGGUUUUUUAACACUUUGAAUUUCAAAUCCUCUUAGCUGAUUUUACAGCUAUAUUUGCUUAUAGAGGCUUAGUGUACCAUUUCAAACUAUAUCAACUUAAUUUUUUAUAGAUAUAUUUUCUUCAAACAGAAAAAUUUCAGUUGGUGGAUGGCCCUACUUUUAUAUACUACCUGAUAAUCAUGAUCCUGGCUUAAUUUGAUUAAUUCUAUUUGGGAGGUACGGUAAAGAAAGCUUGAGCUAUAGAGUGGAAGGAUUAAAUACUUUCGUUAAUUCAAAAUUACACAAAAAAUUUUGAUUAACUAACAAAAACUAGACACUAAAAAAUAGAAAUCAUAUUUUGUUUUAUAAUAUACAUAAUAAAAUUAAUAAAAUGUUGGCAAACAACUAAUAUUACCAUGUGAAAAUAAUAAUUCUGUGAGCCAGUCCAAUUAUAUUGAACUUAAAUUGCAAGGUCCACUAUCUCUACUAAAUCCAUUAUCUAUAAAUUCAUCAUCUUUAUUCGUAAAUUUCUGGUUAGUUGCUUCCAUCCAG